rnacentral:lncRNA from 1 species
UGAAGAAAAAUAUUCAACUAUAUGUUGCCUACAAGAGACUUACUUUAACUUCAAGGGGACACAAACAUAGACUGAAAGUGAGAGAUGAAAGAGAUAUUACAUGCAAAUGGUAACCCAAAAAGAGUAGGUGUGGCUAUAUUUUUAUCAGACAAAAUAGACUUUAAGUCAAAUACUGCUGCAAGAGACACACAAAUACUGCUACAAGAGACACAGAAGAGUAUUAUGUAACAAUAAAGGCAUCAUUUCAUCAAGUGAAUAUAAUAACUGUAAACACAUAUGCACCCAACACCACAACACUCAAAUAUAUUAAACAAACAUUAUCAGAACUGAAGGGAGAAAUAGGCAGCAAUACAAUAACAGUGUAAACAGAGGAAUUUCAAUACCUCACUUUCAACAUUGGAUAUAUUAUCCAUACCAAAAAAAAAAAUCAAUAAAGAAAUAGCAGACAUGACCAACACUAUAGACCAACUGAAUCUAAUAGACAUAUACAGAACAUUCUUUGCAAGGGCACAUUGAACAUUCUCCAGGAUAGGUUACAUAUUAGGCCACAAAACAAGUCUUAACAAAUUUAAGAAGAUUGAAAUCACAUCAAAGGUGCCAAUAAUAAACAAUGAAAAAAGAUAGUUUCCUCAAUGAAUGGUGUUGGGAAACGAUAUACAUAUAUAUAUGCAAAAGAAUAAAAUCAAACUCUUAUAUUACACCAUACACUAAACUGACACAGAAGAGAGGUCUCAGAGGUUCUUCAUUCAGGGCUACUAUGGGACAUUUGUGGGUAUCAGUUAAAGGGACACUUCUGGGAGGAUUAUAGGCAUGCUAUGUUUUAAUAUGCAAGGCACAGGCUGGACAUCAGCCCCCAUUCACUGACGAGGCAGGGUGUUAUUUUAGGGUGAACAAUUUAUGCAGCUGUAAGUAGAAAUCCAGCUCUUAUGCCACAAGGCAUGGCCUGAGUCCAACCAUGCUUAAAAUUAUGUACAUUUAUUAAUUUAAUUUCCCCAUAUCCAUUUCAUUUUGCAAAUUGUACCUUCCUCCUACACUCCAUGUGUAUCUGUAGUGCUUUUCAAUCAAGGGGCCCAUGCCUUGGACAAAAAGGAGGUUGUAGGACUCAAGAUGGACAAAGUACCUGAUCCCUUAAUUACAAUAAUUGGCCAAGGAAUAGGCAUCUGGUCCCAAAAGUGCCAAUAAGUUUCUUUCCUGCAGUGAGAUAAUUUUCUGCUGAUGAGAUGCCUGAGCUGUGGUUUUUGUCUAAAGCAGCAGAUCACAACUUGAUAUACAGGAAGCCUACAAAGUUUUUCAAAAGCUUAGGCUAAAUGGGUCAAAGACAGUUCAAAAUGAAAAAGAGAUCUCAAAAAGAAAUCAAGCUGAGAAUGCUACUCAGAUGCAAGCACAAGCCAUUUCUUAAUGAAAAAGUAAGUGUGACUCAGAAGUUUGACCCACAACUCUGAAGGAAGACCCAAGAGCCACAGGGAACCACUCUAAAGGAGCAAGAAUGAGUGAGUAUUCCCUCUUCCCAGAGUAAGUAGAAAUGGUGACAUGUGCCCAGCUUGAUUUCAAAACUGCUAUAGACCAAUAACAGCUACUUGCCUCCUUUCUUACCCCUUUUAAACAGGAUUGUCCAGUGUGGUUAUCCUACCUCUGUCCCAUCUUUAUAUGCAAUGUAUAUGGCUGUCAGACAACUUGCCACUUUUAUUUACAGGGCCCUUUUCCUAAGAAACCACACCAAAGAAUCCCAGACACCCUGGGAUAAAGAAAGAACUUGUUUUACAUAAACAGUAUUUGUUGAUAAAACUUUUAACAUUAUUUUGCUAUAUACAUACACAUAUACUCUCAUUCUUUAUAACUAAUUUUUCUCAUGAUUGCAAAAUAGUUAAAUUAGAAAAAUGCAAAUUGCUUUAUUUUCUCCCUUAUUAAUAUAGGUUCUCUUCCUAUAAUAAAUAGAGAUGUUAAGAUAAUCUCUCUAAACAUAGCUUAUUUGUUCCUUGCAAUUAUAACUACAGGAAAAAUUAUUAGAAUUAUGAUUACUGGAGGGAAAAAAAUCUACAAUUCUGUGGUUCAUUAUUUAUUGCCAAGUCACUUUUGAAAAAGAGUGAAGGGAUUUACAGUGCCUCCAGAAAAAGGGAAUAUUGCCAGUGUCUCCAACAUCUUGUCAAUAUUGAAUUCCUCAUUUUUGUUUAUAUCAUUCUUAGUUUGGUUUUUUUACCAAUUUUUAAAUUUUAGAUUAAUAUUUGUAAGUUGUUUUAUGGAAUCUUUCUCUACUACCAUAACCAUUGUCCAUUUUUCCAUUAACUUAAUGCUUUCCUUAAUAUUUUUCUCCAUAAAUAUUUUUAUAUUAGGUCUUAAUCAUUUAUUACAUAUAUUUGCCAUUUUGUUUCUUUUACUUUCGUUGCACAGAAGCCUUACCUGUGCACCUAAAGGAAAAAAGAUUCUCACUCACAUUAGGAUAAGCAUAUCACUUCUAAUUUUUUAUGAAUUUUCUUUAAAUACUUAACACUUAUCUAAUUACAGACGACUUAUUAAAAAGGGGUUAGCAUAAAUAUUAACUAACCUAAUUCUCACUGGAUCAUUCUUUCAACUGUGUUAGAGAAGCAUUCUCCAAUUUUUGCCCUGUGGAUAAGUUCCUAGCUUCAGGACAACUGUAUGUAAUAGCGAAAUGGAAAAGAGAAAGAGAAUAUUCAUGUUACAUCAUCUCACUGUAUUCCUUAUGUAUCUUUUUAUUCCUUAUGUAUCUUUUGUUCAUACACAUUUUUCCAUCUUUUAUUCCUUCUGUACAUAAUUCUGGGUAAUUGUUUCUGACUUACCUUAUAAUUUACUAAUUUCCUCUUCAGCUAUAAUUAAUUUGUUACUAAAUCCAUCGAUUAAGUUCUUAAUUUCGGUUAUUUUUUUAUUUCUAGAUUUUCUAUUUUGUUCUUUUUAAAUAUUUUUCAGCUUUCUGUCAAAGUUCUUGAAUUGUCUUUUACUUAUUUAGCAUAAUUACCAUAGUUUUAAAUAUGUAUAUUAAAUAUGUACAUCCAUUAUAUGAAUCCCCUGUGAGCCCAGUGAUAUUGUCUAUUGCUUCUCUUGUUUCUCACUCACAUUGUCUUGCCUUCUGUGCGUCUACCAGUUAUUUGUGAUUAAGUGCAAAACAUUGUAUAUGUACAAAACUGCAAAAAUUAUUUAAGACUUAAAAUAAUUUUAUCUUCCCCCAAAGAAAAUUUUACAUUUGCCAUAGACAUAAGGCUAUGGACAAUAGCAAUACCUAAUCACAUUAAUUUAUCAGAAAUUGAGAUUAUUAAAACCUGGGCUUCAUUCUCUACGAGAACUGUUCCACUUCUGGUUGGACCUUAGUCUUCCUGUGUAGCUCUUUAGGCUCUAACUCAAAGCUUCCGGGGGCAUCCCCCUCAGUGGAUCUGGACUGCAAUUUGUGUCCCACCACCCUCACAAGAGAGUCCAUUCUCUGUUUAGCCUCUCAGCUGUCCCUUCUGGAAUCCACUGAUGCUUUCAGGGAAAAAAUAUUUCCCAAUGUUGCAAUGUUGGGUUCAGCUCUUUGAAUUUCCUUUUCCUGAAUCUUGGUCCCAUAAUUCCUUUACUGCCUCAUUAGCUCUCCAUUGCUAUCCAGCAUACUUUCUUUUCCUUUUUUUUUUUUUUUUUUUAGACAGAGUCUCACUCCAUUACUCAGGCUGGAGUGCAGUGGCGUGAUCUGGGCUCACUGCAACCUCCACGUCUUGGGUUCAGCCGAUUCUCAUGCCUCUGUCUCCUGAGUAGCUGGAAAUACAGGCAUGCACCACCAUACCCAGCUAAUUUUUGUAUUUUUAGUAGACAUGGGGUUUCGCCAUGUUGGCCAGGCUGGUCUGGAACUCUUGACCUCAAGUGAUCUGCCUGCCUUAGCCUCCCAAAGUGCUGAGAUUAACAAGUGUGAGCAACCAGGCCCAGCCAAGCAUACUUUCUUUUCACUCUGUCUAGUUUUCUAGUUAUUCUCAAAAAAAUAAACUAUCUGGUAUUACUGAAAGGGGUACCAAUAAACUUUUCCUCAUUAUCUUGAUUUAUUUAUUUAAUAAAGUUUAAUUUCAUGUUGGAUUUUCUCUUAAUUUUAGUGCUGCAAUCUUUUGUUCCCCUUCUAUUGCCAGGAUUAAUAUUAUGUAUGAAAGUAAGGCCUUUUCUACCUUGAGCUAUGUUUUUCUCAAGAUUCUCUAUGUUUCCUGUCUCAUUAGUAAUAGGUUUCAUAAGCUUUGUGAGUUUAAAUUGUAAGUUCUCAUUGUUUUGGGCGGAGGGGGAGGCAAGAGGGCCUGAGCUCUUGUUUUUGUAGUCUUUUUCAGCUACAAAUUUUUCAUUGAUUGGCACACACAUUUUUAGCAUGGAUAAAGAAACUGUGGUGUAUAUAUAUAUACACAAUGGAAUACUACUCAACCAUAAAAAGGAACAAAUUAACAGCAUUCAUAGCAACCUGGAUAGAUUGGAGACUAUUAAUCUAAGUGAAGUAACUCGGGAAUGGAAAACUAAACAUCAUACAUUCUCACUCACAAGUGAGAGCUAAGUUAUGAGGAUGCAAAGGUGUAAGAAUAACACAGUGAACUUUGGGGACUCAGGAGGAAAGGGUGGAAAGCGGGUGAGGAAUAAAAGACUACAAAUUGGGUUCAGUGUAUACGUUCGGGUGAUGGGUGCACCAAAAUCUCACAAAUCACCACUAAAGAACUUACUCAUGUAACCAAAUGUCACCUGUUCCCCAAAAACCUGUGGAAAUAAAAAAAAUUGAUAAAUAAUUAAAAAUAAAUAAAUAGGAAAAUCUAGAAGAAAUUUAUAAAUUCCUAGAUACUUACAACCUACCAUGAUUAAACCAUGAAGAAACCCAAAACCUGAACAGACCAAUAACGAGUAAUGAGAUUGAAGCAAUUCAUAAUAAAAGGUCUCUCAGCAAAGAAAAGACCUGGGCCCGAUGGCUUCACUACUGAAUUUUACCAAACAUUUAAAGAAGAAUUAACAUCGGAGUAGGGCAGAGGAUUGGUGAGGGACAGGGAGGGGAGAAAAAAAAAAGAAGAAUUAACUUCAAUCCUACUCAAACUAUUCCAAAAAAUAAAGAAGGAAGGAAUACUUCCAAGCUCAUGCCACAAGGCCAGUAUUACCCCGAUACCAACACCAGACAAUUACACAUUUAAAAGGAAAACUAUAGGUCAAUAUCCCUGAUAUUGAUGUGAAAAUCGUCAACAAAAUACUAAUUCAACAACACAUUCAAAAGACCAUUCAUCAUGAACAAGUGUGAUUUACUCCAGAGAUUCAAGGAUAGUUCAACAUAUAGAAAUCAAUCAAUGGGAUAUAUCAUAUCAACAGAUUGAAAGACAAAAACCAUGUGAUUACUUUCAACUGAUGUUGAAAAAGCAUUUGAUAAAAUUCAACAUCCCGUCAUGAUAAAACCCUCAAAUAACUGGAUAUAGAAGGAACAUAUCUCAACAUAAUAAAAGCCAUAUAUGACAGACCCACAGCUAUUAUCAUAUUGAAUGGGGAAAGACUGAAAGCCUUUUCUCUAAGAUCUGGAACAUGACAAGGAUGCCCACUUUCACCUCUGUUAUUCGACAUAGCACUGGAGGUAUCAGACAAGAGAAAUAAAUAAAGAUCAUCCAAAUUGAACGGAAGAAGUCAAAUUACCCUUGUUUGCAGAUGAUAUGACCUUAUAUUUGGAAAAACCUAAAGACUCAACCAAAAAACUAUUAAAUAAAUUCAAUAAAGUUACAGGAAACAAAAUCAACAUACCAAAAUCGGUAGCAUUUCUAUAUGCCAAUAGUGAAAUCUGAAAAAGAAAUCAAGAAAGUAAUCCCAUUUACAAUAGCCACAAAUAAAAUUAAAUACUUAGGAAUUAACCAAAGAAAUGAAAGAUCUCUAUAAUGAAAACUAUAAAACACUGAUGCAAGAAAUUGAAGAGGACAUCAAAAAAUGUAAAGAUAUUCCAUCUUCAUAGAUUGGAAGAAUCAAUAUUGUUAAAAAGUCCACACUACCCAAGCAAUCUACAGACUCAAUGCAAUCUCUAUCAAAAUACCAAUGACGUUCUUCACAGAAAAAGAAAAAAACAAUCCCAAAUUUCAACGUGGGAAACAUGGUAAAACCUCCUUUCUACUAAAAAAAAAUUACAAAAAUUAGCUGGGUAUGGUGGCACAGGCCUGUAGUCCCAGCUAUUUGGAAGGCUGAGGUGGGAGGAUCACCUGAGCCCAGGAGGCAGAGGUUGCAGUGAGCCGAGAUCAUGCCACUGCACUCCAGCCUGGGUGACAGAGUGAGUCCCAGUCUCAAAAAGAGGGAAAAAAAGGUAAAACAAUCCUAAAAUUUAUAUGGAACCACAAAAAAAAAAAGACCAACAAAAACAAACAAAAAAAAACAGAAAAUUUUAAGCAAAAAGAAUAAAACUGGAAGAAUCACAUUACCUGACUUCUAUAGAGCUAUAGUAACCAAAACAGCAUUGUACUGGCAUAAAAACAGACAGACACAUAGACCAGUAGGACAGAACAGCGAACCCCAAAACAAAUCCGUACGUCUACAGUGAACUCAUUUUUGACAAAGUGCCAAGAACAAACACUGGGGAAGUGGCAGUCUCCUCAAUAAAUGGUGCAGGGAAAACUGGAUUUUUAUACCCAAAAGAAUGAAAUUAGGCCCCUAUCUUUCUCCAUAUACAAAAAUCAAAUCAAAGUGGAUUAAAGACUGAAAUCUAAGAUCUCAAACUAUGAAACUACUAAAAGAAAAUAUUUUAAAUACUAUUAUGUAUAAUAAUAAUAACAAUAAAGAGAGAGAGAACAUUGGGAAACUCUCCAGGACAUCAGUCUGGGCAAAGAUUUCUUGAAUAAUACCUCAUAAGUACAGGAAACCAAAGCAGAAAUGGGCAUAUGGGAUCACAUCAAGUUAGAAAGCUUCUGCACAGCAAAGGAAACAAUCAACAAAAAGUGAAGAGACAACCCACAGAAUAGAAGAAAAUAUUUUCAACUACUCACGUGACAAGGGAUCAAUAUCCAGAAUAUAUAAGGAGCUCUAACAACUCUAUAAGAAAAAAUCUAAUAAUCCGAUUAAAAAUUGGCAAAAUAUCAGAAUCAACAUUUCUCAAAAGACAUACAAAAGGCAUACAGAUACAUGAAAAAGUGCUCAACAUCAUUAUCACCAGAUAAUGCAAAUCAAAACUACGAUGAGAUAUCAUCUCACUCCAGUUAAAAUGGCUUUUAUCCAAAAGACAGGCAAUCGCAAAUGCUGGCAAAGAUGUGGAGAAAAGAGAACCCUUGUACACAGGUGGUGGGAAGGUAAAUUAGUAUAAUCACUGGGGAGAACAGUUCGGAGGCUCCUCAAAAAACUAAAAAUAGAGCUACCAUAUGAUCCAGCAAUCCCACUGCUAGUUUUCUAUCCAAAGGAAAGGAAAUUCCAGUCGGGCGCAGUGGCUCAUGCCUCUAAUCCCACCACUGUAGGAGACCAAGGCAGGAGAAUCGCUUGAGCUCGGGAGUUCAAUACCAGUCUGAGCAACAUGCCAAAACCUCAUCUCUACAAAAAAUAUAAAAAUUAGCUGGGCAUGGUGCUGCGCACCUAUAAUCCCAUCUACUUGGGAGGCUGAGGCAGGAGGAUUGCAUGAGCCCAUAAGGUUGAGGCCUGAGUGAACCAUGAUCACACCACUGCACUCCAGGAGCCUAGGCAGUGGAGCAAGAUGCUGUCUCAAAAAAAAAGCAAAUCAGUAUAUCAAAGAGAGAUCUGCAUUUGCAUGUUUACUGCAGCACUAUUCACAAGAUUUGGAAACAACCAAAGUGUCUGUGAACAGAUGAAUGGAUAAAGAAAAUAUGGUACUUAUACACAAUGGUGUACUAUUCUGCCAUAAAAUAAGAACAAGAUACUGUCAUUUGCAACAGUGUGGAUGGAACUGGAGGUCAUUAUGUUAAGUGAAAUAAGCCAGAUACAGAAAGACAAACUUUGCCUUCUCACUUAUUUGUGGAAGCUAAAAAUUAAAACAAUUAAACUCAUGGAGAUACAGAGUAGAACAGGGUAAAUGAUGGUUACCAGAGGCUAGGAAGGGUAGUGGGGGAGACUGGGGAGGAAGUGGGAAUGGUUAGUAGGUACAAAAAAAUAGAAAGAAUGAAUAAGAUCUAGUAUUUAUUAUAGCACAACAGGGUGACUGUAGUCAAUAAUUUAACUGUACAUUUAAAAAUAACUAAAGCGUAUAAUUGGAUUGUUUAUAACACAAACAAGAAAUGUAUUGAAGUGAUAGAUACCUCAUUUACAUAAUCAUAAUAAUGUGAUCAUUAUGCAUUGUAUGCCUUUAUCAAACUAUCUCAUGUACCCCAUACAUAUGUACCUACUAUGUAUUCACAAAAAUUUAAAUUUAAAAAAUUUUUAAAAGGCCAGGUGCAGUGGCUCACACCUGUAAUCCUAACACUUUGGGAGGCUGAGGCAGGAGCACUGCUUGAGCCCAAGAGUUUGAGACCAGCCUGGGCGACAUAGCAAGAUCCUGGGUUUUUUCGUUUGUUUUUUGUUUUGGGGUUUUUUUCAAGACGUAAUCUUGCUCUGUCACCCAGGCUGGAGUGCAGUGGCAUGAUCUUGGCUCACUGCAACCUCUGCCUCUCGGGUUUAAGCAAUUAUCCUGACUCAGCCUCCAGAGUAGCUGGGAUUACAGGCAUACGCCACCACGCCCAGCUAAUUUUUUUUUUUUUUUUUUUUUUUUUUUUGGUAUUUUUAGUGGAAACAGGAUUUCACCAUGUUGGCCAGGCUGGUCUCAAACUCCUGACCUCGUGACCCGCCCGCUUUGGCCUCCCAAAGUGCUGGGAUUACAGGUGUGAGCCACCGUGCCCAGCCAGCAAGACCCUGUUUCUACAAAAAAUUUAAAAAUUAGCCAGGCAUGGUGGCACCUGCCUGUAAGUGCCAGCUACUUGGGACUGCAGUGAGCUGCAGUCAUGCCACUACACUCCAGUGAGGUCAAGGCUGCAAUGAGCUGCAGUCGUGCCACUGCAUUUCAGCCUGGGUGACAGAGCAAGACCCUGUCUCAAAAACAAAAAACAAAAAAAAAUUUUUUUAAUCAAAGGUUAUGGCUCAGGCUUCCUGACAUAAGUAAAGGAGGACACAGCUAAAUUAGAAGGCUUUCAUUUUUGCCAAGGUGUUUGGGGUGAAGCAAAGAAACACAGACAGACUUGCCAUUCACUGCCCAAUAAAACAAACCAAGGAAAGACCACAAAAGGAAAUGCUCCCUCCUCAGGCUAUGGCAAAUGUCAAUCAUGUCAGCCCUUGGGAAUUUAGAAUUGGGACCCGCGUGAGGGAAAAGGAGAAAAUCUUAAGGAGCCAUGUCUGCACUGGUAUUAUUGUGAACUGAAACUGACAUAGCAAUUGCAAGAUUGGACUGAGGAAAAGAAAAGGAUGAGAUUGAUUAGAUCAAGCUGCCUAACAUUAGACAGGCUGAGAGUUUAGUCUGGUCAGAAAUCAGCCAUUACAUAUUUUAACUAUUUUUAAGUGUCAUUAAAAACACCAACUUUGAACACAUUGCAGACCACCAACGUGUUAAUUUCCAUGCCAGCUUCUUCAUGUUUUUGCAGACCUUGACAUAUAGCUGCUUUAGCCAUCUCUGGCAUAUAUAUAAUGUAUUGAGUAGGUAAUAAUUCUGCACAAGGCUUUUUCUUUUCUUUUUUUUAAAUUCAGACUUGCACAUGGCCUCUCCCAUAAAAUUAUACAGGGGAAUAGACUUACCAUAGCACACAUUAAUCAAAUUCAUCAAAUGCCAGACGAGGCUGAAGUGCUUCUGCUCAGCAGUUGCUCUUGUCAGAAAGCCAAAGAAGGCUGUACAGCAAUAAGCACACAAGUAACACAUGUCAUGGUAAUUAUUCGAGAUUAAGGCUUAUUGUAAGUUUUGGACACUUUU